rnacentral:rRNA from 1 species
GGCGGCAGGCCUAAUACAUGCAAGUCGAGCGCAUCCUUCGGGAUGAGCGGCGGACGGGUUAGUAACGCGUGGGAACGUGCCCUUCUCUAAGGAAUAGCCUCUGGAAACGGAGAGUAAUACCUUAUACGCCCUUCGGGGGAAAGAUUUAUCGGAGAAGGAUCGGCCCGCGUUAGAUUAGAUAGUUGGUGGGGUAACGGCCUACCAAGUCUACGAUCUAUAGCUGGUUUUAGAGGAUGAUCAGCAACACUGGGACUGAGACACGGCCCAGACUCCUACGGGAGGCAGCAGUAGGGAAUCUUGGACAAUGGGCGCAAGCCUGAUCCAGCCAUGCCGCGUGAGUGGAGAAGGCCUUAGGGUCGUAAAGCUCUUUCGCCUGUGAUGAUAAUGACAGUAGCAGGUAAAGAAACCCCGGCUAACUCCGUGCCAGCAGCCGCGGUAAUACGGAGGGGGUUAGCGUUGUUCGGAAUUACUGGGCGUAAAGCGCGCGUAGGCGGAUUGGAAAGUUGGGGGUGAAAUCCCAGGGCUCAACCCUGGAACUGCCUCCAAAACUCCCAGUCUAGAGUUCGAGAGAGGUGAGUGGAAUUCCAAGUGUAGAGGUGAAAUUCGUAGAUAUUUGGAGGAACACCAGUGGCGAAGGCGGCUCACUGGCUCGAUACUGACGCUGAGGUGCGAAAGUGUGGGGAGCAAACAGGAUUAGAUACCCUGGUAGUCCACACCGUAAACGAUGAAUGCCAG